rnacentral:rRNA from 1 species
CGUGAGGAACCUGCCUUCCAGAGGGGGACAACAGUUGGAAACGACUGCUAAUACCGCAUGAUGCAUUGAAGUCGCAUGGCUUUGAUGUCAAAGAUUUAUCGCUGGAAGAUGGCCUCGCGUCUGAUUAGCUAGUUGGUGAGGUAACGGCCCACCAAGGCGACGAUCAGUAGCCGGCCUGAGAGGGUGAACGGCCACAUUGGGACUGAGACACGGCCCAAACUCCUACGGAAGGCAGCAG